UACUGCGCUAUAGUACAGACUAUCACUGCCCUUAACGAAAAUAACGGUCACAAAACUCAACCCUAACCUACAUCCCUUUAACCAAAAAAAUCGCACGAAAUAACGAUUCCUACCUCUGUAUGGCUUAUCAAUUUUUAGCGUAAGUAAAGGAGGCAAUACUACAGGUUCUCAUUGUAUUGUAAACAAUGGAAAUUGCUUCCAUCUGCGGGUUUCAAAGGGUAAAGUCGAGAACGGUUAUUACAUAGUACUGAAACACUACAUAAUAAAACGUAUUAUGCCAUAAAUUAUAACGAACGGUUCGUUUUUUUUGAAAUUAGAGUUGCCCCUACGAGUAAAUGUAUGUCAUUCAGUCUCCCAGCAAUGCCAUGCCCUCGUACGCAGCAGACGAAAGGCUACAGACAAGAACAUGGGUAAUCCCUUGCACUCAAAUUGAUUAGUAAUG